AUUUGGCGGACGGGUGAGUAAUACAUCGGAACGUGCCCAAUCGUGGGGGAUAACGUAGCGAAAGCUACGCUAAUACCGCAUACGAUCUACGGAUGAAAGCGGGGGAUCGCAAGACCUCGCGCGAAUGGAGCGGCCGAUGGCAGAUUAGGUAGUUGGUGGGGUAAAGGCUCACCAAGCCAACGAUCUGUAGCUGGUCUGAGAGGACGACCAGCCACACUGGGACUGAGACACGGCCCAGACUCCUACGGGAGGCAGCAGUGGGGAAUUUUGGACAAUGGGCGAAAGCCUGAUCCAGCCAUUCCGCGUGCAGGAUGAAGGCCUUCGGGUUGUAAACUGCUUUUGGACGGAACGAAAAGCCACUUUCUAAUACAAGGUGGUCAUGACGGUACCGUCAGAAUAAGCACCGGCUAACUACGUGCCAGCAGCCGCGGUAAUAAUC
rnacentral:rRNA from 1 species